UACGUAGGGUGCGAGCGUUGUCCGGAUUUACUGGGCGUAAAGGGCGCGUAGGCGGCCUUCUAAGUCGGACGUGAAAUCCCUCGGCUUAACCGAGGAACUGCGUCCGAGACUGAAAGGCUUGAAUCCGGGAGAGGGAUGUGGAAUUCCAGGUGUAGCGGUGAAAUGCGUAGAUAUCUGGAGGAACACCGGUGGCGAAGGCGGCAUCCUGGACCGGCAUUGACGCUGAGGCGCGAAAGCUAGGGGAGCAAACGGG
rnacentral:rRNA from 1 species